GUGUACAGCCAUACCGCCCUGAAUGUGCCGGGUCUCGUCUGAUUUCGGAAGCUAAGCAGGGUCGGGCCUGGUUAGUACUUGGAUAGGAGGGAGAACAGAUCCAGGAUUUU
rnacentral:rRNA from 1 species